AGCGCAGGUGGUUUCUUAAGUCUGAUGUAAAAGGCAGUGGCUCAACCAUUGUGUGCAUUGGAAACUGGGAGACUUGAGUGCAGGAGAGGAGAGUGGAAUUCCAUGUGUAGCGGUGAAAUGCGUAGAUAUAUGGAGGAACACCGGAGGUGAAAGCGGCUCUCUGGCCUGUAACUGACACUGAGGCUCGAAAGCGUGGGGAGCAAACA
rnacentral:rRNA from 1 species